rnacentral:rRNA from 1 species
UACGUAGGGGGCUAGCGUUGUCCGGAAUCAUUGGGCGUAAAGCGCGUGUAGGCGGUCCGGUAAGUCCGCUGUGGAAGUCGGGGGCUCAACCCUCGGAUGCCGGUGGAUACUGUCGGGCUUGAGUACGGAAGAGGCGAGUGGAAUUCCUGGUGUAGCGGUGAAAUGCGCAGAUAUCAGGAGGAACACCAAUUGCGAAGGCAGCUCGCUGGGACGUUACUGACGCUGAGACGCGAAAGCGUGGGGAGCAAACAGG